CGUGUAGGCGGGAAGGAAAGUCAGAUGUGAAAUCCCUGGGCUCAACCCAGGAACUGCAUUUGAAACUCCCUUUCUUGAGUGUCGGAGAGGAAAGCGGAAUUCCUGGUGUAGAGGUGAAAUUCGUAGAUAUCAGGAGGAACACCGGUGGCGAAGGCGGCUUUCUGGACGACAACUGACGCUGAGACGCGAAAGCGUGGGGAGCAAACA
rnacentral:rRNA from 1 species